AUUGAACGCUGGCGGCAUGCCUUACACAUGCAAGUCGAACGGCAGCACGGGAGCAAUCCUGGUGGCGAGUGGCGAACGGGUGAGUAAUAUAUCGGAACGUGCCCAGUCGUGGGGGAUAACGUAGCGAAAGCUACGCUAAUACCGCAUACGAUCUACGGAUGAAAGCGGGGGAUCGCAAGACCUCGCGCGAUUGGAGCGGCCGAUAUCAGAUUAGGUAGUUGGUGAGGUAAAGGCUCACCAAGCCGACGAUCUGUAGCUGGUCUGAGAGGACGACCAGCCACACUGGGACUGAGACACGGCCCAGACUCCUACGGGAGGCAGCAGUGGGGAAUUUUGGACAAUGGGCGCAAGCCUGAUCCAGCAAUGCCGCGUGCAGGAUGAAGGCCUUCGGGUUGG
rnacentral:rRNA from 1 species